rnacentral:tRNA from 1 species
GUCUCAUUGGUCUAGUUAGGUUAUGACUUCUGGCUUCCAACCAGAGAACAUCGGUUCGAAUCCGAUAUGGGACU